rnacentral:lncRNA from 1 species
AAAAACAUAAACAACUACAAACACGUUUAUUAAAGACAAUAGAGAUAUUCUUGGAAAGAUUAUGCUUUAGUAGCUACUUACUAUUGGGAUGGUCUUGAAUAGAAAUAAAAUAAAUUCUGCAAAAUAAAAACUAAUUAAAAAUUGAUGAGUUGCCUCCCAUCCAGGGCUUCUUUUACGUCAAUAGCUUGACGCUCAAUGCUCAAAACACAUUAGGCGCAUGUGUUACCCUUACGCCAGU